rnacentral:rRNA from 1 species
UGAGUGAGUGGCGAACUGGUGAGUAACACGUGGGAAACCUGCCCAGAAGCGGGGGAUAACACCUGGAAACAGAUGCUAAUACCGCAUAACAACUUGGACCGCAUGGUCCGAGCUUGAAAGAUGGCUUCGGCUAUCACUUUUGGAUGGUCCCGCGGCGUAUUAGCUAGAUGGUGGGGUAACGGCUCACCAUGGCAAUGAUACGUAGCCGACCUGAGAGGGUAAUCGGCCACAUUGGGACUGAGACACGGCCCAAACUCCUACGGGAGGCAGCAGUAGGGAAUCUUCCACAAUGGACGAAAGUCUGAUGGAGCAACGCCGCGUGAGUGAAGAAGGGUUUCGGCUCGUAAAACUCUGUUGUUAAAGAAGAACAUAUCUGAGAGUAACUGUUCAGGUAUUGACGGUAUUUAACCAGAAAGCCACGGCUAACUACGUGCCAGCAGCCGCGGUAAUACGUAGGUGGCAAGCGUUGUCCGGAUUUAUUGGGCGUAAAGCGAGCGCAGGCGGUUUUUUAAGUCUGAUGUGAAAGCCUUCGGCUCAACCGAAGAAGUGCAUCGGAAACUGGGAAACUUGAGUGCAGAAGAGGACAGUGGAACUCCAUGUGUAGCGGUGAAAUGCGUAGAUAUAUGGAAGAACACCAGUGGCGAAGGCGGCUGUCUGGUCUGUAACUGACGCUGAGGCUCGAAAGUAUGGGUAGCAAACAGGAUUAGAUACCCUGGUAGUCCAUACCGUAAACGAUGAAUGCUAAGUGUUGGAGGGUUUCCGCCCUUCAGUGCUGCAGCUAACGCAUUAAGCAUUCCGCCUGGGGAGUACGGCCGCAAGGCUGAAACUCAAAGGAAUUGACGGGGGCCCGCACAAGCGGUGGAGCAUGUGGUUUAAUUCGAAGCUACGCGAAGAACCUUACCAGGUCUUGACAUACUAUGCAAAUCUAAGAGAUUAGACGUUCCCUUCGGGGACAUGGAUACAGGUGGUGCAUGGUUGUCGUCAGCUCGUGUCGUGAGAUGUUGGGUUAAGUCCCGCAACGAGCGCAACCCUUAUUAUCAGUUGCCAGCAUUAAGUUGGGCACUCUGGUGAGACUGCCGGUGACAAACCGGAGGAAGGUGGGGAUGACGUCAAAUCAUCAUGCCCCUUAUGACCUGGGCUACACACGUGCUACAAUGGAUGGUACAACGAGUUGCGAACUCGCGAGAGUAAGCUAAUCUCUUAAAGCCAUUCUCAGUUCGGAUUGUAGGCUGCAACUCGCCUACAUGAAGUCGGAAUCGCUAGUAAUCGCGGAUCAGCAUGCCGCGGUGAAUACGUUCCCGGGCCUUGUACACACCGCCCGUCACACCAUGAGAGUUUGUAACACCCAAAGUCGG